GGGCUAAGCUGUCUCCCCCUAAAUUUUUAAAAAUUAUCUUUUAGGUGAAGAGACCUAAAUUUAAUUGAGGGACAAGAAGACCCUGUUGAGCUUUAGUAAACUGGGAAUUUAUUAGUAAAAGUAUAAAAAAUACUUCUUAAUCCUACUUAAGUAGCGAUAAAAAUUUUCAGAAAUCUUUAGUUGGGGCGACUGAGGAACACAGAAAGCUUCCUUAUUCUUCUUAAUAGUUUAGAUUUUUGUAGAUAUAUUUAAAAAGGAAAGAUCCGGUAGGUACCGAUCAAUAGAAAAAGUUACCACAGGGAUAACAGCGUAAUCUUUCUGGAGAGUUCUUAUCGAAAGAAGGGUUUGCGA
rnacentral:rRNA from 1 species